rnacentral:ncRNA from 1 species
UAAUGAUACUCCCGCCCAGUCACAGGUCGAGCGUGAUAAAACCGUCGCAACCAAUGAGGGCGGCCGCAUGAGAACCAUGCAGGGGGUGAGAUUCCCGUG